UAUGGAGCAAAUGUGACUGGGAGAGACUAGUGAGGCAGCAGAGAGACAAGGAUGUGCGGUGUGUGUGUGUGUGUGUGUGUGUGUGGUGUGUGUGUGUGUGCGGUGUGUGUGUGGUGUGUGUGUGCGGUGUGUGUGUGUGCGGUGUGUGUGUGUGCGGUGUGUGUGUAUGUGUGUGCAGUGUGUGUGUGUAUGUGUGUGCGGUGUGUGUGUGUGCGGUGUGUGUGUUUGUGUGUAUGUGUGUUCAGGAGAACACAGGAGGGGUGAGGUUAGGUGAGAAACAGAAGAUUUGUGAGAGCUUAGGGUCAAAUAAAUACAUUGGAGUUCAUGAGAUUUCAGAGAGGUCCCCAGACUUACUUCAAGACAGUAAGAGAGAGCAGAAGGAUGUGAGGCUGAGAUGGAAAGAAGAAGGAGAGGUGCUCAAAAGUCUUCUGAAGGAAGAUGAAUAGCCC
rnacentral:lncRNA from 13 species